CCCUUAGAUGUUCUGGGCCGCACGCGCGCUACACUGACGAAUGCAACGAGCUUAUAACCUUGGCCGAAAGGUCUGGGUAAUCUCCAAAUUUCGUCGUGAUGGGGAUAGAUUAUUGCAAUUAUUAAUCUUCAACGAGGAAUGCCUAGUAAGCGCAAGUCAUCAGCUUGCGUUGAUUACGUCCCUGCCCUUUGUACACACCGCCCGUCGCUCCUACCGAUUGAAUGGUCCGGUGAAGCCUCCGGAUUGGCGCGCACCUCGGUGCCGCCGAGAAGUUGGCUAAACCUUACCAUUUAGAGGAAGGUGAANUCGUANCA
rnacentral:rRNA from 1 species